rnacentral:rRNA from 1 species
UACGGAGGAUCCAAGCGUUAUCCGGAUUUAUUGGGUUUAAAGGGUGCGUAGGCGGCCUAUUAAGUCAGGGGUGAAAGACGGUAGCUCAACUAUCGCAGUGCCCUUGAUACUGAUGGGCUUGAAUACACUAGAGGUAGGCGGAAUGUGACAAGUAGCGGUGAAAUGCAUAGAUAUGUCACAGAACACCGAUUGCGAAGGCAGCUUACUAUGGUGUCAUUGACGCUGAGGCACGAAAGCGUGGGGAUCAAACAGG